AUUGAACGCUGGCGGCAUGCCUUACACAUGCAAGUCGAACGGCAGCACGGGUGCUUGCACCUGGUGGCGAGUGGCGAACGGGUGAGUAAUAUAUCGGAACGUACCUUAUUGUGGGGGAUAACGCAGCGAAAGCUGUGCUAAUACCGCAUAAUCCCUAAGGGGGAAAGCGGGGGACCGUAAGGCCUCGCGCAAUUAGAGCGGCCGAUACCUGAUUAGCUAGUUGGUGAGGUAAAGGCUCACCAAGGCAACGAUCAGUAGCUGGUCUGAGAGGACGAUCGGCCACACUGGGACUCAGAAACGGCCCAGACUCAUACGGGAGGCAGGAGUGGGGAAUUUUUGGCAAUGGGUGCAACCCUGAUCCAGCAAUGCCGCGUGAGUGAAGAAGGCCUUAGUGUUGUAAAGCUCUUUUGUCAGGGAAGAAACAGCAGCUCUAACACAGUAUGCGAAUGACGGUACCUGAAGAAUAAGCACCGGCUAACUACGUGCCAGCCGCCGCGGUAA
rnacentral:rRNA from 1 species